rnacentral:rRNA from 1 species
AGAGUUUGAUCCUGGCUCAGGAUGAACGCUAGCUACAGGCUUAACACAUGCAAGUCGAGGGGCAGCAUGGUCUUAGCUUGCUAAGGCUGAUGGCGACCGGCGCACGGGUGAGUAACACGUAUCCAACCUGCCGUCUACUCUUGGCCAGCCUUCUGAAAGGAAGAUUAAUCCAGGAUGGGAUCAUGAGUUCACAUGUCCGCAUGAUUAAAGGUAUUUUCCGGUAGACGAUGGGGAUGCGUUCCAUUAGAUAGUAGGCGGGGUAACGGCCCACCUAGUCAACGAUGGAUAGGGGUUCUGAGAGGAAGGUCCCCCACAUUGGAACUGAGACACGGUCCAAACUCCUACGGGAGGCAGCAGUGAGGAAUAUUGGUCAAUGGACGAGAGUCUGAACCAGCCAAGUAGCGUGAAGGAUGACUGCCCUAUGGGUUGUAAACUUCUUUUAUAUGGGAAUAAAGUGGGCCACGUGUGGAUUUUUGUAUGUACCAUAUGAAUAAGGAUCGGCUAACUCCGUGCCAGCAGCCGCGGUAAUACGGAGGAUCCGAGCGUUAUCCGGAUUUAUUGGGUUUAAAGGGAGCGUAGAUGGAUGUUUAAGUCAGUUGUGAAAGUUUGCGGCUCAACCGUAAAAUUGCAGUUGAUACUGGCAGUCUUGAGUGCAGUAGAGGUGGGCGGAAUUCGUGGUGUAGCGGUGAAAUGCUUAGAUAUCACGAAGAACUCCGAUUGCGAAGGCAGCCUGCUAAGCUGCAACUGACAUUGAGGCUCGAAAGUGUGGGUAUCAAACAGGAUUAGAUACCCUGGUAGUCCACACAGUAAACGAUGAAUACUCGCUGUUUGCGAUAUACAGCAAGCGGCCAAGCGAAAGCAUUAAGUAUUCCACCUGGGGAGUACGCCGGCAACGGUGAAACUCAAAGGAAUUGACGGGGGCCCGCACAAGCGGAGGAACAUGUGGUUUAA